GAGUUUGAUCCUGGCUCAGAUUGAACGCUGGCGGAAUGCUUUACACAUGCAAGUCGAGCGGCAGCGCGGGGCAACCUGGCGGCGAGCGGCGAACGGGUGAGUAAUGCAUCGGAACAUGUCCAUGUCGUGGGGGAUAGCCCGGCGAAAGCCGGAUUAAUACCGCAUACGCCCGAGAGGGGAAAGCCGGGGACCGCAAGGCCUGGCGCGAUUGGGUUGGCCGAUGUCCGAUUAGCUAGUUGGCGGGGUAAGAGCCCACCAAGGCGAUGAUCGGUAGCUGGUCUGAGAGGAUGAUCAGCCACACUGGGACUGGAGAC
rnacentral:rRNA from 1 species